CACUAUGCCUAGCCAUAAACAUUGAUAGAAAACUACACCCACUAUCCGCCCGGGAACUACGAGCAUCAGCUUGAAACCCAAAGGACUUGGCGGUGCUUUAGAUCCACCUAGAGGAGCCUGUUCUAGAACCGAUUACCCCCGUUCAACCUCACCUUUCCUUGUUUUUCCCGCCUAUAUACCACCGUCGUCAGCUUACCCUAUGAAGGACUUAUAGUAAGCAAGAUUGGCACAGCCCAAAACGUCAGGUCGAGGUGUAGCGUAUGGAAAGGGAAGAAAUGGGCUACAUUCCCUAAUAUAGUGAAAUACGAACGAUACACUGAAAUACGUAUCUGAAGGAGGAUUUAGCAGUAAGCAGAAAAUAGAGCGUUCCGCUGAAACCGGCCCUGAAGCGCGCACACACCGCCCGUCACUCUCCCCGAGCUUAAUAGCCCUUAAUACCUAAAACCUAAAAACUGCAAAGGGGAGGCAAGUCGUAA
rnacentral:rRNA from 1 species